rnacentral:rRNA from 1 species
GUGUCAGCCGCCGCGGUAAUACGUAGAUGGCGAGCGUUAUCCGGAAUGACUGGGCGUAAAGGGUGCGUAGGCGGUUUAAUAAGUCAGAUGUGAAAGUCCCGUGCUUAACAUGGGGAUUGCAUUUGAAACUAUUAGACUUGAGUGCAGGAGAGGGAAGUGGAAUUCCUAGUGUAGCGGUGAAAUGCGUAGAUAUUAGGAGGAACACCAGUGGCGAAGGCGACUUUCUGGACUGUAACUGACGCUGAGGCACGAAAGCGUGGGGAGCGAACAGGAUUAGAUACCCUGGUAGUCCACGCUGUAAACGAUGAAUGCUAGGUGUGGGGAGUCAAAUCUCUGUGCCGCAGUAAACGCAAUAAGCAUUCCGCCUGGGGAGUACGGCCGCAAGGUUGAAACUUAAAUGAAUUGGCGG